rnacentral:rRNA from 1 species
AUUGAACGCUGGCGGCAUGCUUUACACAUGCAAGUCGAACGGUAACAGGCCUUCGGGUGCUGACGAGUGGCGAACGGGUGAGUAAUGCAUCGGAACGUACCCAGAGGUUGGGGAUAACGCAGCGAAAGCUGUGCUAAUACCGCAUGUGAUCUGAGGAUGAAAGCGGGGGACCGAGCAGCAAUGUUUGGCCUCGCGCCUUUGGAGCGGCCGAUGUCGGAUUAGCUAGUUGGUGGGGUAAAGGCCUACCAAGGCGACGAUCCGUAGCUGGUCUGAGAGGACGACCAGCCACACUGGAACUGAGACACGGCCCAGACUCCUACGGGAGGCAGCAGUGGGGAAUUUUGCACAAUGGGCGCAAGCCUGACCCAGCAACGCCGCGUGCGGGAAGAAGGCCUUCGGGUUGUAAACCGCUUUUGGCAGGAACGAAACGGUGUCCGCUAAUACCGGGCGCUAAUGACGGUACCUGCAGAAUAAGCACCGGCUAACUACGUG